AGGGGCCUCUGCCUCUAUCCAGGAUU
rnacentral:miRNA from 1 species